rnacentral:rRNA from 1 species
UAGGGAAUCUUCCACAAUGGACGCAAGUCUGAUGGAGCAACGCCGCGUGAGUGAAGAAGGUUUUCGGAUCGUAAAGCUCUGUUGUUGGUGAAGAAGGAUAGAGGCAGUAACUGGUCUUUAUUUGACGGUAAUCAACCAGAAAGUCACGGCUAACUACGUGCCAGCAGCCGCGGUAAUACGUAGGGGGCAAGCGUUGUCCGGAUUUAUUGGGCGUAAAGCGAGCGCAGGCGGAAUGAUAAGUCUGAUGUGAAAGCCAACGGCUCAACUGUGGAACUGCAUCGGAAACUGUCAUUCUUGAGUGGAGAAGAGGAGAGUGGAAUUCCAUGUGUAGCGGUGGAAUGCGUAGAUAUAUGGAAGAACACCAGUGGCAAAGGCGGCUCUCUGGUCUGCAACUGACGCUGAGGCUCGAAAGCAUGGGUAGCGAACAGG